GCCUUUAAACAGGAAAUAGAAAUAAAUGUGUUACCAGUCCCCCCAUCUCUGGAAACCCAAGGGAACAUGAGGACAUACUGGUGAACUGGGGACUGAAGAGAACAUGAAAUUAGAAAGUAGGAUGCUGAAGACAAAUUUAGGAGUAAUCAAGGUACAAGCAGAAGUUAGACCAGCAGUGGAUGAACUAGUUGAAGAAACUCCAUGUAUGUGAGAAGAUAAAUGAUUUAUUUGUACAAUAUGUAUACACACAUCCAAUAUAUCCAAGCAUGACAUAAUCUUAUUGCACACCUCCUUCAGACACUUGGAGUACAAUUAAUGAAAGAGCAUAAUGUUGCUAAGCUAGAUCUACUGACUCUCAUAUCUUAUCAGUAGGUUUCUAUUCUGGAACUAUGAGGCCAACACUUGUCAAAUAUGUGUUAAGGUCUUAUUAUGCAAUUUGCUUUUAUUUUCUCAACAAAACUUUUUUGCUUGCACAGAAAAGUUCAAGGAAUACAAAUAGAUCUGGUAAAAUAUUUGUCUAGACAUCAAGUAUCUUUUGAUAAAAGAGUAUCUUGAUUGGUUGAAUAUAACAUAUAUACAUCAUAUUUCCAAGGAAGCAUGAAUAGGCUUUGGAGACUAAAGAAACUAUUCUUAGCAAUUAUAUAUUGAACUCUCACUGGCCUAAUCUGAAAAACAUUUAAAUCAAAUUAGUAUCUGAUUUUUUUCAUGUCUUAAAUGAUUUACUCUAAAUUAAAUCAAUAAAUAGAAUCUGUAGAAAAAUUUUUAGAUAAUAAACCUAAUAUCAAAGUAACCACACAUACAAUUUAUUGUGAACCAUCCCGUUGUGACCUGAGUCAUGUUGCUAUUUUUGCUACAUUACCAGGUUAAACUAGACAUUUAAACACAAGGAGGUUCUAAGAGAAUUCAAAUAGCUCUUGCUAUUCCUAAAAAAUUAAGACUAUCCCAUUGCAAAGAAAAUAGUGGCCACAAAGAUAAGUACUGAUGACUAAUUUAAUGACUGGGUAGAUUCUUUUGGCAGGUACUUCUCAAGAUACUAUAGUAUCUUCAAGGGUCUUAAAAUUUUGCUCGUGGAUGGUUCACAAUAAAACAUCAAUGUUGUGCACACUGUUAGAGGCAAUAGAAAAAUCAGUUUAGCCAUGAUUCAUGCAUGAAUUCCCAUGUGGGUCACAUACUGCCUAGACUCAAGGGAAGGUGCUAUUCCAGAGUCUACAACUGCCAAUAACCUGAAAACUAAUACAAGCUAAAUUCCACUUAUAGGCUAGAAAUUAAAUGGUGCAUUUAAUUAUCAGUCCUCCAGUGCUUCUGUCAUCUUUUGGCAUUUAUGAGAGUUAAUAAACUGCCAUGGUUUCUGCAAACAUAACUGGCAGUAAUCCACAACUGGUUGAGUUAAUUAAGCAGAACAAUUGUCAAGAGCUAAAAAUGAUGAAAAGGAAGAAUUUUAAUGUAAUGGUGCAUAAUGCUGUGGAGAUGCACCAAGGAGUCUAGAGAAUCCAGAAAUUUUCCCUAAUAAAUUUGUGUGUGUGUGCAUGCAUACACAUGUGGAUUUUCUUUUAAUGUAGCACUAUAAAGUAUGGCAUAUUCCUAAUGUUCAGAAUAAUAAAAAUUUAAUCUUGUCCAA